rnacentral:rRNA from 1 species
GAUGAACGCUGGCGGCGUGCCUAAUACAUGCAAGUCGAGCGAACAGAUGAUGCGCUUGCUCCUCGGACGUUAGCGGCGGACGGGUGAGUAACACGUGUAUAACCUACCUGUAAUACUGGUAUAACUUCGGGAAACCGGAGCUAAUACCGGAGAAUAUAUUGAACCGCGUGGGUCGAUAGUGAAAUUCGGUGGUGCGGGCACUUAUAGCGGCAUCCGGGCGGUAUGAGGUAGUUGGUAAGUUAACAGGUUACCAAGGGAAGCAGGCGUAGACGAACUGAGAGGCUGAUCGGCGACACUGGAACUGAGCCACGGUCCAGACUACUAAGGGACGCAGCAGUAGGGAACGGUACGCAAUGGGCGAAAGUAUGACGGAGCAAGGGCGCGUGAGUGACGAAGGUCCUCGGAUCGUAAAAAUCUGUUAUUAGGGAAGAACCAAUGUGUAAGUAAAUAUGCACGUCUUGACGGUACCUAAUAAGAAAGCAACGGCUAACUACGUG